rnacentral:rRNA from 1 species
GUGCGUAACGCGUAUGCAACCUACCUUUCACAGGGGGAUAGCCCGAAGAAAUUUGGAUUAAUACCCCAUAAUAUUAUUGGAUGGCAUCAUUUGAUAAUUAAAACUGCGGUGGUGAAAGAUGGGCAUGCGUCCUAUUAGCUAGUUGGAGUGGUWACGGCACCCCAAGGCUACGAUAGGUADGGGUCCUGAGAGGGAGAUCCCCCACACUGGUACUGAGACAGGGACCAGACUCCUACGGGAGGCAGCAGUGAGGAAUAUUGGUCAAUGGUCSGAAGACUGAACCAGCCAUGCCGCGUGCAGGRAGRAUGCCUUAUGGGUUGUAAACUGCU